rnacentral:piRNA from 1 species
UGCCGAAAAGCAGAAGGGAUGG